AGCGAACGCUGGCGGCAGGCUUAACACAUGCAAGUCGAGCGGGCACUUUCGGGUGUCAGCGGCGGACGGGUGAGUAACGCGUGGGAACGUGCCCUCUGGUUCGGAAUAACUCAGGGAAACUUGAGCUAAUACCGGAUACGCCCUUUUGGGGAAAGGCUUGCUGCCGGAGGAUCGGCCCGCGUCUGAUUAGCUAGUUGGUGAGGUAACGGCUCACCAAGGCGACGAUCAGUAGCUGGUCUGAGAGGAUGAUCAGCCACACUGGGACUGAGACACGGCCCAGACUCCUACGGGAGGCAGCAGUGGGGAAUAUUGGACAAUGGGCGCAAGCCUGAUCCAGCCAUGCCGCGUGAGUGAUGAAGGCCUUAGGGUUGUAAAGCUCUUUUAUCCGGGACGAUAAUGACGGUACCGGGGGAAUAAGCCCCGGCUAACUUCGUG
rnacentral:rRNA from 1 species